AGAUGUAACGCCAUGGGGUAGGAGCCCGGAACUAUUCUCCGGUGUUGCGGUUUGAGUGACCCCCAAGGCUCACGUGUGUACCACCGGAUCCAGUCCCAGGAAUUGCUCUGCAAGGUUGUGGAGUCUUUGAGAUGGGGACCUAACGGGAAGACGUCAGUCACCGGACCCAGGGGCUACUCUCUUUUCCUAUUGCCGCGGUAAAACGCCCAGCGAAAGCAAUGUGAGAUGGAAGGAUUUAGUUGGACUCCUGAUUUAAGGAUUCUGUCGUGGUGGGGGAAAGCAUGAAGGCCAUUCACGUGACACAUGGCAUCUGCAGUCAGGAAGCAGCGAGAGAUGAACGCUGGCCCUCAGCCCGCUUUCCCUUUCCUUCAGUUUGGGACCCUGCCACAACUGUCCACAUUCAGGACGACUCUUCCCUCCCAGGUGUCCCUGAUGACAUUCUGAAGAUGACUGUGGACUCCAGCGGCCCUGAACUCCUCCUAUAGCUUUCAUUGGAGCUCCUUUCCGAGGACUAACCCCACAAGUUGAGAGAGGUUCUGGUCACUUGACUUGUCCAUGAGACUCCUGUCCCGUCUACCCCCCCCCUCCCCGCGGCUGCCCAUUUCCCGGUGCGAUUCUCUCGUUUUCACUCUGCACAGGCUCUCACAUCCGGACCCCUCAAGGGGCCGCCUCUGCGCCCCGUCAUCCUUCUCCCUGGAAAGGUCAUGCCCACUUCGUUAUUUAUUUAACACCCCCAAACGCAGCGCACACCUUGUGUCCUGUCUUCCCUCCUCUAGGGCACCCAGCGACUCCAGCUGAGAACCGCAGAGGGACCGUGAAGCCCUCGUUUCCCUGCUUGCCAUGGUGUGGCCCUGGUCACGGUUCUCACAGCUCCAACCAGCUCCCGCGAAAAGCGCACAUGAGGGUGGCCGGUCCACCUAGUCCACCUCGGUGUCAAUAGCCCAGUUUGGCACCGGUGAUCAAACGAUAGGAUGCCCGUGCGUAGCUCUGGGAACGGGAGAUAGGCGAGCCACUUUGAGACCAAUCUGGAAAUUAAAAUA